GAGGAGGAAGACCCCAUGGAAGUGGGCAAGGAGGGCCUUUCCUCAUCACUCGGUCUCUGCCAGUGUGUAUGUGGGCCGCCGCUCUCUAGCAACUGUAAGCCUGCACUGCUCACGUUCUGCAAAGAGACUCGUAGGGAGGAGAUGGCUCGUGGCUGUCAAGCAGGCUGCAGGGAAGGGGAGGAUGAGUAACAAAACGGAAGAGUUUGUUGGCAUUUCUUGGUUAUCUGACUAGAGAUUUGGAAUAUCAGAAAAGAAUCCAUGAUGAUGGUCAUUCUGGUUCAACUUCCUGCCAUGAAAUGGGACCACUAUUCACCAGGUGACCUUAAAACAACAUAUGCAAACCGUGCUGAUCCAUUCAGUGCCGCACAGAUUAUAGCUGAACAACAGCAGUGAAUGCAAUUAGAUCUGGAAAGGAAAUCGAUGGUAUGAGAAUAUGGAAGUCAUCAAGCAACUGUGUGGAGACAGAAGAGGAGGAGGCUGAGAACAGAUUUCUGUGAGACCCCAAUGAAGACAAUUAAAGAAGAGAUAGAGCUUCUUCCAUUGAUAUGUUGAAUGAUCAAUCAGACACGUAAUAGAAGAACCAACUGAGAGCAGAGUCACUGAAACUGAGGGCACAAAGAGAGUCGAACAGGAAAGGGUGAUCAAGUAUUUCAAAGGCAACACAGAGGUCAAAGACAGAGUAGAGACCUUUAGAUUUAGUCAAUGGGUAAUUGUCAAUGAUAUUUAUGAACCAAGUUCCAGUACAGUGCAGAGUGUGACAGCUAGAUUGUGAAGGAUCAAAAAAGUUGCUGAAAGAAAUAAAGUUAAGACAGCAGUAGUAAGAGGUAUUCUUCAGGAGUUGGGGGGCAAAGGGUAGAAGAUAAAUCUAAUCAGUUAGGGUGUUUUUUUUUUAAUUUUUAGAAUGGCUGAAAUGGUGACAUGUUUGCAUGUUGCACGGGAUAAAUAAAGGGAAAGAUGGGUGGUGUGGAUAGGCACAGUAUGAAACUGACAGAAUUUGGAAAGAAAGCCAACAUGAUUCUCCACACAGCAUUCUGGGUGAAUGUGUAGGAGUACAAGACCUCCAAAGUAAAAGUAAUGGUGGCAGUGCUUGGGGGGAUUCUUCUGUGGAAACGUAGCUGGAGGGAUCAAGAGAGGAAAAAGACAUGGAGGAGAAUAACUGCUUUAUGGUGAGGGAGAAGGGAAGGAGAGUGGGGAGAAGGCAACAAAUAGAUAUAAACUUAGGAGAAUGAGGCUAAGUGGAUGCCUUGAUACUGGAAACAACCACCAGUAGGCUCAGAGCUAGGCUGGAAGCCCCGAAAGCAAGUAGUGAAAUAAAAGGAGAAAUAUAGGAGAGUGUGCCUUGGCAGAGCAGUGGUCGAAAUAAGGUGCAGUGGAAUCAGUCCACUGGAUCUUGUGGGUCCUUUCAGCUUAUUUUCAGUCACACAGGGUUCAGAUAAGAAAGGAAGCAAACUACCUAGCCAGAUGGAGUUGCUAAGGCUUUGAAAGUGACCUCCCACCAUCUUCCUAUUUCCUUCUUACUGCAGAAGCCUAGGCUCCAAGUUGUCACAAUAAGCAUCAGGGCAAUGGAAGGAUGUGUUUACUUUUACUGUCUAUUUUUUUGCUGAUUUCCCCCCUGAAAAGGCGAGGAGGAGUUAUUUGCUGGUUGUGACUGUGGCUGCAUCUGCAUAUAAUAUGAAACCGGAAUGGAAGGGGCCUCCAUUUGAAAUUUGUGCAUGUCCAAAUGCAUGUAACUGCAGUUCUGACUGAAAAUCUACCCAGAGUUUCCCUCCCCAGACUCCAAUUUGUGUCUUUGGUUUGUAAUGAGUUUUGAUGCCUUUAACUCCCGUUUUGCAGUGCCAAUGUUACAUGAGAAUGUGGCACCGCAGUCCCAUGCUGCAGCAACCAGAGUUGAGGGAUGAAGCUCUUAUCUAGCUCCAGCUGCCCCUGGGGCUGUCCUUCAGUCAAGAAGGAAGUCUAGAUAGCUAGUUCCCCUUCCUCUCUGCAGUUUAUAUGAUGGCUUUUCACCUCCUGUCUGUUACAUGUGAAUGAGGACAGGAGAGUGGGGGAAGGGGGACACAGAACUGUGGGUCAAUUGGACCCGCGGUUCCAUGUUACGUGUGAAUGUCGCCAUUGUGAUACUGGAGCUAAGCUGACCCAUUCCUUGUUCCAGGUGCCAGAUGAAGCUCAGUAUCUAGUAGACAAUUCCAGCAUACCUGAACAUGGUGAAGAAUUCAACAUUCAAUGUUGAUACCCAGUUUCGGCUAGUAUCCACUGGCCUCCUGAAUCCAUAGAAUGAUCUACCAUCCACCACAAAAUCUUGUGCAGUUUUUGCAGUGUAAGAGAAGUAUUAUUUGGAAUUGAGCUCAUUCAUACCUAGAUUGGAUGGAGAUCUCCAGAUAAUCUGAGACAGAAAAUGUAUCUGGAUUUUAUAUUGUAAUCAUAUAAGGAAAGCUACUUAAUUAUUGUUUUGAUGUAUUGUUCUAUUCAAUCUAUUGCUUUUUAUGGUAACAUUUCCUGUAAGAUGUUGUGAGUUUAAUACAUAUAUACAUUGAAAGGCAACGUGUAAAGUUUGAAAUAAAAUAAAGUGCCUAAUGCACAUGU